rnacentral:ncRNA from 1 species
UUGGCGGCGCCACCCCGCGCCGACCCCGGACGAGUGGCGCUCCGUACCCGGUCGAGCAAAGACGGCAGCGCA